GGAGAUGAAGUCAUGGCUCAGCAGUAAACCAUCUGCUUGAAAUGCAGCAGGUCCCUGGUUCAAUCCCCGGCAUCUCCA
rnacentral:tRNA from 1 species